UACGUAGGUGACCAGCGUUGUCCGGAUUUACUGGGCGUAAAGAGCGCGCAGGCGGUCGUUCAAGUCGAGUGUGAAAGCCCCGGGCUCAACCUGGGAACCGCGCUUGAGACUGGCGGGCUAGAGUUCGGGAGAGGAUGGUGGAAUUCCCAGUGUAGAGGUGAAAUUCGUAGAUAUUGGGAAGAACACCGAUGGCGAAGGCAGCCAUCUGGACCGACACUGACGCUGAGGCGCGAAAGCGUGGGGAGCAAACAGG
rnacentral:rRNA from 1 species